rnacentral:rRNA from 1 species
UACGUAGGGUGCGAGCGUUAAUCGGAAUUACCGGGCGUAAAGCGUGCGCAGGCGGUUCGUUGUGUCGGCGGUGAAAGCCCCGGGCUUAACCUGGGAAUGGCCGUUGAAACUGGCGAACUGGAGUGUGGCAGAGGGGGGUGGAAUUCCGCGUGUAGCAGUGAAAUGCGUAGAGAUGCGGAGGAACACCGAUGGCGAAGGCAGCCCCCUGGGCUAACACUGACGCUCAUGCACGAAAGCGUGGGGAGCAAACAGG